rnacentral:rRNA from 1 species
GAUCAUGGCUCAGGAUGAACGCUAGCUACAGGCUUAACACAUGCAAGUCGAGGGGCAGCGGGAAGUCAGCUUGCUGACUUUGCCGGCGACCGGCGCACGGGUUAGUAACACGUAUCCAACCUUCCCGUUACUCUGGAAUAGCCUUUCGAAAGAAAGAUUAAUACCGGAUAGUAUCGAGAGAUUGCAUGAUAACCCGAUUAAAGAUUCAUCGGUAACGGAUGGGGAUGCGUUCCAUUAGGCAGUUGGG